rnacentral:misc_RNA from 1 species
AAGUCGUAACAAGGUUUCCGUAGGUGAACCUGCGGAAGGAUCAUUCUUGUGUUCUUUGUAACAUUCACACACACUGUGUUGUUGUUUCCACCAUGUGUGGAUGGUUGCCAUGCCACACUCGGCGUGGCAAUCGUCCCUUAUAUUAUAAACACACGUAACCAAUGAAUUGAGUGAUACCUUUGAGUGCUAUAUAUACGCACUUGAAACAAAACAACAAUACAACUGUUGGCAACGGAUCACUCGGCUCUU